AGUGAACGCUGGCGGUAGGCCUAACACAUGCAAGUCGAACGGCAGCACAGGAGAGCUUGCUCUCUGGGUGGCGAGUGGCGGACGGGUGAGGAAUACAUCGGAAUCUACUCUGUCGUGGGGGAUAACGUAGGGAAACUUACGCUAAUACCGCAUACGACCUACGGGUGAAAGCAGGGGACCUUCGGGCCUUGCGCGAUUGAAUGAGCCGAUGUCGGAUUAGCUAGUUGGCGGGGUAAAGGCCCACCAAGGCGACGAUCCGUAGCUGGUCAGAGAGGUGGAUCAGCCACACUGGAGCUGAGACACGGCCCAGACUCCUGCGGGAGGCAGCAGGGGGGAAUAUUGGACAAGGGGCGCAAGCCUGAUCCAGCCAUACCGCGGGGGUGAAGAAGGCCUUCGGGUUGUAAAGCCCUUUUGUUGGGAAAGAAAUCCAGCUGGCUAAUACCCGGUUGGGAUGACGGUACCCAAAGAAUAAGCACCGGCUAACUUCGUGCCAGCAGCCGCCGUAA
rnacentral:rRNA from 1 species